GCUCAUGGUCUGAAUAAGAGAGAGAACAGGAACGAUACAGAAAAGAUUAGUAUGGUCUCUGCACAAGGAUGACAUGCAAAUUCAGGAAGCGUUCCAUAUUUUU